rnacentral:tRNA from 1 species
UUAUUGAUAGUUUAAAUUAAAAGAAUAAUAAUUUGUGGUAUUAUAGGUGAAAAUUUUUCUCUAAAUC